UUUGUGCCUACCGAAAUAAAAUAUCCAGCUCAUCUUCCAAUUUUCCUUUUUAUUAACGAGUUGGCCCCGGGUCUUCAAAACUUUACAGAAAUGUCAAACACUCAUUUUUACCCACGUGUUUCAUUAAUCUUUAAUCACUAUUGUAACUACAUAGAUUUUCUUAUAGAAAAAAACAAAUCAAAUUAAAGAACUGAACAAACACAGAGACUUUGCCUCCC
rnacentral:lncRNA from 1 species